UUCCCCAACCUGUUAAAGUCCUGCUGGAUGGCAGCACAGCCUUCCGGAGUGUCAGCCACUCCUCCCAGUUUAGUCUCAUCAGCAAACUUGCUGACAGCACACUCCAUUCCCUCAUCCAAGUCAUCGAUGAAUAUAUUGAACAACACUGCUCCCAGUACUGACCCUUGAGGGACUCCACUAGAUACAGGACUCCAACUCAACUCCAUUCCAUUGACCACAACCCUCUGGCUUCUUCCCUUCAGCCAGUUUACAGUCCACCUC